rnacentral:rRNA from 1 species
AUGAGUGACCGAAGGUACGGGUACUCGUACCCACACAACCAAGGGUAUUACAACGGACCGCCGGUGAUGGCGCCGCCGCAGUACGCCCCGCCGCCGAGACGGCAGACGGGAUUCCUCGAAGGAUGCCUGGCUGCUCUGUGCUGCUGCUGCCUCGUCGACGAGUGCUGCUGCGACCCGUCCAUCAUAUUCGUGAGCUGA